UCGGAUAUGGUGUAACGGUUAACAUUGCCGCCUCUCACCGCGACGCAAAUUCUCGGGGACUUGAACCCCCUAGGAAGAAGCAAAUCGGAUCGCGGCAGCUCGGGGUUCGAUUCCCCGUAUCCGAA